UGGAGAGUGACGUGGUGACGCAGCAGCAGGUUUCCGCGGGGUUGCCUCCAGAAUGGCUGUGAUAGCUGGGGAAGCGUUGCCGGAGCCGUGGCGAGGGGAUGCGCUGCUGCUGCUGAUGACGAUGCUCCUCCUGCUUCUCUCUCCCUCUCUUUCUGUCGUUCUUUCUUUCUCUCCUCCUCAGCGCCUGCGCCUGCGCCUGGGCCUGCGUUGUUGCAGUUGUAGUUGGAUGAUUGGGUUGCGUUGCGUUUGUGUUGGUGUGAUGUGCUCCCUGGUUCCCUCCCGCGUGUGGCAGGAGUAAUGUUGCGAGGGCAAAAAUAGAAGACGGGGUUGGGGUUGGUGGUGGCGCCCCCGCUGGUCCCAGUGUGGCGAGGGAAUGCCGGAAUGGCGGAAGAUUUUGGUCCUUUUUUUUAUCUUCUGACGAGUGAGUGCUCUUUGGCUUCGUUGCCUUGGCCCUCUCUCGCUCUCUCUCGCCCGCUUUUCUUUUCUUGUUCUCUUCUUCGUGCUCCACCGUCGUCUGCACUGGGGACCCUCAUCCGUGGAGGAGGAGGAUUGGCUGGUUGGGUGCGGGCUUGGGGAUGGCACUCCCUGGACUCUCACUCAGUCACGUGUCCUCUUGUGGAUGAAUGGAUUUAUGGAUGGAUGAAAUAUCUGCCUGGCCCUUCCUCCCAGACCCGGUUGUGUGUGUGUGUGUGUGUUUGUUUAUUGAUGGGCUGUGUCUGUGCCAUGCUGCAUUUGCUUGCUUCGUGAUCAUUCAUUCAUUCCUUCUCCUUAGCCUUUGGCGUUGGUCCCUGGUUCCCUCCAAUGACCGUGCGUCGUGUCCUCCUGCAAUGAGUCGAGAUCAUAAGUUUGAAUGGUCUCUUUGCUUUGCAACCUUUAUCCUUACACUUCACCAUCGGCGAUGGAUGAUGUGGGCAGGCAAGGAGGGAGGGAGGGAGACCCAGGUGUGCGUUUGUUAGCAUUCCGAGAUGACCUAAAGAGACGUCAGGUAGACAGCGAGAGUGUGUUAUUCCACCUUGGAAUGAUGGAUGGAUUGUUGGAUGGAUGAAUUUGUGAAUUAGCGGAGGAAUGCAUAUUGUUUCGUUCAUCAUGGGAACUGCUCUGCCCUGUCUUAGUUUUAUGCUUGCAACUCACUCUGGCAUUUAAAUCCAUUGUAUUUUACAUAUUGGUUUAUAAAUUAUUGAUGGUGGUUUGAAGAACUUUAUUUACAUUUAUACAUGUAUUUGUUUUGUUAUAGGUAUCAUGAUUCAAAAUUGGUAACUUGUUUUUGUUAGUAUUGUUUUUUCAUAAACAUGUUGAUUUUAUAUUUGCUGUUGUCGUUAUCAUUUUCCGUUUUAAUAUGUACUUUUUUCUGUUUACUUUCUCUUUUCUUUUCUUUUCUUUUCUUUUUUUUCUUUUUGUGUGUGUAGUUUUAGACAGGUACAUACACUCAUAGUCACAGUCAUAGUCAUGUAUGCUUACAUUUAUACAUCACUAGUAUACAUUUUUUCUAAUUUUAUCGUGGAAUGAAUGUUUAUUUUUUGAUUUGAUAAUGUAUAUUUUAAUGUAUGUACCUGUUACUGGAAUUAAAAUAUUUAGGAAUAUAUUUAUUUAUAUUGCCGCGCAACGUUAGAUUCUUAUUU
rnacentral:lncRNA from 1 species